rnacentral:misc_RNA from 1 species
UACGGAGGGUGCAAGCGUUAAUCGGAUUUACUGGGCGUAAAGCGUGCGUAGGCGGCUUGGUAAGUCGGAUGUGAAAUCCCAGGGCUCAACCUUGGAAUUGCAUCCGAUACUGUCAAGCUAGAGUUCGGUAGAGGUUGGUGGAAUUCCCGGUGUAGCGGUGAAAUGCGUAGAUAUCGGGAGGAACAUCGAUGGCGAAGGCAACCAACUGGGCCUGAACUGACGCUGAGGUACGAAAGCGUGGGGAGCAAACAGG